rnacentral:rRNA from 1 species
AAGUGGGGGACCUUCGGGCCUCACGCCAUCAGAUGUACCCAGAUGAGAUUAGCUAGUAGGUGGGGUAAUGGCUCACCUAGGCUAUGAUCUCUAGCUGGUCUGAGAGGAUGACCAGCCACACUGGAACUGAGACACGGUCUAGACUCCUACGGGAGGCAGCAGUGGGGAAUAUUGCACAAUGGGCGCAAGCCUGAUGCAGCCAUGCCGCGUGUAUGAAGAAAGCCUUCGGGUUGUAAAGUACUUUCAGCAAGAAAGAAAGUAUUUUAGUUAAUAACUAAAAUAAUUGACGUUACUUGCAAAAGAAGCACCGGCUAACUCCGUGCCAGCAGCCGCGGUAAUACGGAGGGUGCGAGCGUUAAUCGGAAUUACUGGGCUUAAAGCGUACGUAGGCGGUUAAUUAAGUUAGAUGUGAAAUCCCCGAGCUUAACUUGGGAAUUGCAUUUAAAACUGGUUAGCUAGAGUCUUGUAGAGGGGGGUAGAAUUCUAGGUGUAGCGGUGAAAUGCGUAGAUAUCUAGAGGAAUACCAGUGGCGAAGGCGGCCCCCUGGACAAAGACUGACGCUCAGGUACGAAAGCGUGGGGAGCAAACAGGAUUAGAUACCCUGGUAGUCCACGCCGUAAACGAUGUCGACUUGGAGGUUGUGCCCUUGAGGUGUGGCUUCCGGAGCUAACGCGUUAAGUCGACCGCCUGGGGAGUACGGCCGCAAGGCUAAAACUCAAAUGAAUUGACGGGGGCCCGCACAAGCGGUGGAGCAUGUGGUUUAAUUCGAUGCAACGCGAAAAACCUUACCUACUCUUGACAUUCAGAGAAUUUGCUAGAGAUAGCUUAGUGCCUUCGGGAGCUUUGAAACAGGUGCUGCAUGGCUGUCGUCAGCUCGUGUUGUGAAAUGUUGGGUUAAGUCCCGCAACGAGCGCAACCCUUGUCCUUUGUUGCCAGCACGUAAAGGUGGGAACUCAAAGGAGACUGCCGGUGAUAAGCUGGAGGAAGGUGGGGAUGACGUCAAGUCAUCAUGGCCCUUACAAGUAGGGCUACACACGUGCUACAAUGGCAUAUACAAAGAGCAGCAAACUCGCGAGAGCAAGCGAACCUCAUAAAGUAUGUCGUAGUCCGGAUUGGAGUCUGCAACUCGACUCCAUGAAGUCGGAAUCGCUAGU